CAUGCCGCGUGUAUGAAGAAGGCCUUCGGGUUGUAAAGUACUUUCAGUUGUGAGGAAGGGUGUGUAGUUAAUAGCUGCGCAUCUUGACGUUAGCAACAGAAGAAGCACCGGCUAACUCCGUGCCAGCAGCCGCGGUAAUACGGAGGGUGCGAGCGUUAAUCGGAAUUACUGGGCGUAAAGCGCAUGCAGGUGGUUCAUUAAGUCAGAUGUGAAAGCCCGGGGCUCAACCUCGGAACUGCAUUUGAAACUGGUGAACUAAGUGCUGUAAGGGGGGUAAAUUUCAGGUGUACGGUGAAAUGCGUAAGAUCUGAAGGAAUACCAGUGGCGAAGCGGCCCCCUGGACAGACACUGACACUCAGAUGCGAAAGCGUGGGGAGCAAACAGGAUUAGAUACCCUGGUAGUCCACGCCGUAAACGAUGUCUACUUGGAGGUUGUGGCCUUGAGCCGUGGCUUUCGGAGCUAACGCGUUAAGUAGACCGCCUGGGGAGUACGGUCGCAAGAUUAAAACUCAAUGAAUUGACGGGGGCCGCACAAGCGGUGGAGCAUGUGGUUUAAUUCGAUGCAACGCGAAGAACUUACCUACUCUUGAC
rnacentral:rRNA from 1 species